rnacentral:rRNA from 1 species
UUUAUGGAGAGUUUGAUCCUGGCUCAGGAUGAACGCUGGCGGCGUGCCUAAUACAUGCAAGUCGAGCGAACGGACGAGAAGCUUGCUUCUCUGAUGUUAGCGGCGGACGGGUGAGUAACACGUGGAUAACCUACCUAUAAGACUGGGAUAACUUCGGGAAACCGGAGCUAAUACCGGAUAAUAUUUUGAACCGCAUGGUUCAAAAGUAAAAGACGGUCUUGCUGUCACUUAUAGAUGGAUCCGCGCUGCAUUAGCUAGUUGGUAAGGUAACGGCUUACCAAGGCAACGAUGCAUAGCCGACCUGAGAGGGUGAUCGGCCACACUGGAACUGAGACACGGUCCAGACUCCUACGGGAGGCAGCAGUAGGGAAUCUUCCGCAAUGGGCGAAAGCCUGACGGAGCAACGCCGCGUGAGUGAUGAAGGUCUUCGGAUCGUAAAACUCUGUUAUUAGGGAAGAACAUAUGUGUAAGUAACUGUGCACAUCUUGACGGUACCUAAUCAGAAAGCCACGGCUAACUACGUGCCAGCAGCCGCGGUAAUACGUAGGUGGCAAGCGUUAUCCGGAAUUAUUGGGCGUAAAGCGCGCGUAGGCGGUUUUUUAAGUCUGAUGUGAAAGCCCACGGCUCAACCGUGGAGGGUCAUUGGAAACUGGAAAACUUGAGUGCAGAAGAGGAAAGUGGAAUUCCAUGUGUAGCGGUGAAAUGCGCAGAGAUAUGGAGGAACACCAGUGGCGAAGGCGACUUUCUGGUCUGUAACUGACGCUGAUGUGCGAAAGCGUGGGGAUCAAACAGGAUUAGAUACCCUGGUAGUCCACGCCGUAAACAAUGAGUGCUAAGUGUUAGGGGGUUUCCGCCCCUUAGUGCUGCAGCUAACGCAUUAAGCACUCCGCCUGGGGAGUACGACCGCAAGGUUGAAACUCAAAGGAAUUGACGGGGACCCGCACAAGCGGUGGAGCAUGUGGUUUAAUUCGAAGCAACGCGAAGAACCUUACCAAAUCUUGACAUCCUUUGACAACUCUAGAGAUAGAGCCUUCCCCUUCGGGGGACAAAGUGACAGGUGGUGCAUGGUUGUCGUCAGCUCGUGUCGUGAGAUGUUGGGUUAAGUCCCGCAACGAGCGCAACCCUUAAGCUUAGUUGCCAUCAUUAAGUUGGGCACUCUAAGUUGACUGCCGGUGACAAACCGGAGGAAGGUGGGGAUGACGUCAAAUCAUCAUGCCCCUUAUGAUUUGGGCUACACACGUGCUACAAUGGACAAUACAAAGGGCAGCGAAACCGCGAGGUCAAGCAAAUCCCAUAAAGUUGUUCUCAGUUCGGAUUGUAGUCUGCAACUCGACUACAUGAAGCUGGAAUCGCUAGUAAUCGUAGAUCAGCAUGCUACGGUGAAUACGUUCCCGGGUCUUGUACACACCGCCCGUCACACCACGAGAGUUUGUAACACCCGAAGCCGGUGGAGUAACCUUUUAGGAGCUAGCCGUCGAAGGUGGGACAAAUGAUUGGGGUGAAGUCGUAACAAGGUAGCCGUAUCGGAAGGUGCGGCUGGAUCACCUCCUUU